UACGUAGGUGGCAAGCGUUGUCCGGAUUUACUGGGCGUAAAGGGCGUGCAGGCGGUUUGUUAAGUCUAGGGUGAAAGCUCCCGGCUCAACUGGGAGAGGUCCUUGGAUACUGGCGGACUUGAGGGAGGCAGAGGAGAAUAGAAUUCCCGGUGUAGUGGUGAUAUGCGUAGAUAUCGGGAGGAAUACCAGUGGCGAAGGCGGUUCUCUGGGCCUUACCUGACGCUGAGACGCGAAAGCGUGGGGAGCGAACCGG
rnacentral:rRNA from 1 species